rfam:Anopheles maculatus strain maculatus3 cont1.51808, whole genome shotgun sequence.
GCCGGCUUAGCUCAGUAGGUAGAGCAACUGACUUGUAAUCAGUAGGUCACCAGUUC